GGAGGAUUUGAUAAAAGCGACAGCCAAACUCGGAAACGAAAUUGGUUAUGACGCAAUCAUUGACUUUGUGAACACAAGAGUCACAUCGACUCGCGCGUUCGAGUGUUUGAACACGGAUGGCCUUCAAGUGUGUGUUGGGUUAUUUGGAGGGUCGGGUAACUUUCCUCUACCAGUUCUCACCCUGAGUGAGAAAGGUGUAAAGGGAGUUUACGUUGGGCGACUUCAGCAACUUAAAGAUCUUAUUGCAUUGGUGUCAACGAACAAGCUCACACCACCGCCACUCAUCUACUACAAACUGGAAGACAUCAACUCAGCCCUGGACCUUCUGAGGGUUGGGAAGAUUAAUGGACGUGGGAUCAUUAAGCAUGAGGGAGCCAACGACGACGCAUAAAAUAUUAACAUGUACUUGAAAUAAUAAACCAGCAUUCUUUCCGUGUUUUGUAAAUAUAAUUCUAUAUUUC